rnacentral:tRNA from 1 species
CCAAACAUGUAGACUAAUCCCUUCCUUUGUAU